rnacentral:rRNA from 1 species
CAGACGGGUGAGUAACGCGUGGUCAACCUACCGUUGAGUGGGGGAUAACUAGCCGAAAGGUUAGCUAAUACCGCAUACGUCACCGAGGGGCAUCCCUCGGCGAUAAAAGGAGCAAUCCGCUCGAUGACGGGACCGCGUCCCAUUAGCUAGAUGGUGGGGUAACGGCCUACCAUGGCACCGAUGGGUAGCUGGUUUGAGAGAGCGACCAGCCACACUGGGACUGAGAAACGGCCCAG